rnacentral:rRNA from 1 species
UACGUAGGGUGCAAGCGUUAAUCGGAGUUACUGGGCGUAAAGCGUGCGCAGGCGGUUUUGUAAGACUGUCGUGAAAUCCCCGGGCUUAACCUGGGAAUGGCGAUGGUGACUGCAAGGCUAGAGUUUGGCAGAGGGGGGUAGAAUUCCACGUGUAGCAGUGAAAUGCGUAGAUAUGUGGAGGAACACCGAUGGCGAAGGCAGCCCCCUGGGUCAAAACUGACGCUCAUGCACGAAAGCGUGGGGAGCAAACAGG